rnacentral:rRNA from 1 species
UUCUGGCUCAGGAUGAACGCUAGCUACAGGCUUAACACAUGCAAGUCGAGGGGCAGCAUGAAACUUAGCUUGCUAAGUUUGAUGGCGACCGGCGCACGGGUGAGUAACACGUAUCCAACCUACCGUUUACUACGGGAUAGCCUUCUGAAAAGGAGAUUAAUACCGUAUGGUAUUCUAAAGUUUCAUGACAUUAGAAUUAAAGGUUUACCGGUAAUCGAUGGGGAUGCGUUCCAUUAGAUAGUAGGCGGGGUAACGGCCCACCUAGUCAGCGAUGGAUAGGGGUUCUGAGAGGAAGGUCCCCCACAUUGGAACUGAGACACGGUCCAAACUCCUACGGGAGGCAGCAGUGAGGAAUAUUGGUCAAUGGGCGAGAGCCUGAACCAGCCAAGUAGCCGUGAAGGAUGACUGCCCUAUGGGUUGUAAACUUCUUUUAUAAAGGAAUAAAGUGGUCCACGUGUGGAUUUUUGUAUGUACUUUAUGAAUAAGGAUCGGCUAACUCCGUGCCAGCAGCAGC